rnacentral:rRNA from 1 species
UCCUACGGGAGGCAGCAGUGGGGAAUAUUGGACAAUGGGCGCAAGCCUGAUCCAGCCAGCCGCGUGUGUGAAGAAGGCCUUCGGGUUGUAAAGCACUUUCAGUGGUGAGGAAGGCCUUGCAGUUAAUAGCUGCAAGGAUUGACGUUAGCCACAGAAGAAGCACCGGCUAACUCCGUGCCAGCAGCCGCGGUAAUACGGAGGGUGCGAGCGUUAAUCGGAAUUACUGGGCGUAAAGCGCACGUAGGCGGUUUGUUAAGCUAGAUGUGAAAGCCCAGGGCUCAACCUUGGAAUUGCAUUUAGAACUGGCAAGCUAGAGUUUUGAAGAGGGUGGUAGAAUUUCCUGUGUAGCGGUGAAAUGCGUAGAUAUAGGAAGGAAUACCAGUGGCGAAGGCGGCCACCUGGUCAAAAACUGACGCUGAGGAGCGAAAGCGUGGGGAGCAAACAGGAUUAGAUACCCUGGUAGUCCACGCCGUAAACGAUGUCAACUAGUUGUUCGUGUCUUUGAGACGUGAGUAACGCAGCUAACGCAUUAANUC